GACGAACGCUGGCGGCGUGCUUAACACAUGCGAGUCGAACGGAAAGGCCCUGCUUUUGUGGGGUGCUCGAGUGGCGAACGGGUGAGUAACACGUGAGUAACCUGCCCUUGACUUUGGGAUAACUUCAGGAAACUGGGGCUAAUACCGGAUAGGAGCUCCUGCUGCAUGGUGGGGGUUGGAAAGUUUCGGCGGUUGGGGAUGGACUCGCGGCGUAUCAGCUUGUUGGUGGGGUAGUGGCUUACCAAGGCUUUGACGGGUAGCCGGCCUGGGAGGGUGACCGGCCACAUUGGGACUGAGAUACGGCCCAGACUCCUACGGGAGGCAGCAGUGGGGAAUAUUGCACAAGGGGCGGAAGCCUGAUGCAGCAACGCCGCGUGCGGGAUGACGGCCUUCGGGUUGUAAACCGCUUUCGCCUGUGACGAAGCGUGAGUGACGGUAAUGGGUAAAGAAGCACCGGCUAACUACGUG
rnacentral:rRNA from 1 species